rnacentral:rRNA from 1 species
CAAUAGCGUAUAUUAAAGCUGUUGCGGUUAAAAAGCUCGUAGUUGGAUUUCUGUCAAGGACAACUGGUCCGCCCUCCGGGUGAGCACAUAGUUUGGUCUUGGCAUCUUGCUGGAAACUGUUGCUGCACUUGGCUGUGUGGCGCAGCGUCCAGCACUUUCACUUUGAGGAAAUUGGAGUGUUUCAAGCAGGCACAUGCCUUUGGACACAGUAGCAUGGAAUAAUUAGAUUGGGCUUUUGCUCCAAUUUGUUGGUUUCUGGAGCUGAGGUGAGAAUUAAUGGGGAUUGUUGGGGGCAUCCGAAUUUAGCCGUCAGAGGUGAAAUUCUUGGAUCUGCUAAAGACGGACAACUGCGAAAGCGUUUGCCCAGGAUGUUUUCAUUGA